rnacentral:rRNA from 1 species
UACAGAGGGUGCAAGCGUUGUUCGGAAUCAUUGGGCGUAAAGGGCGUGUAGGCGGUCUGUUAAGUCAUGUGUGAAAUCCCUCGGCUCAACCGGGGAACGACGCAUGAAACUGACAAGCUAGAGUACCAAAGAGGGGGUGGAAUUCCCGGUGUAGUGGUGAAAUGCGUAGAUAUCGGGAGGAACACCAGUGGCGAAGGCGACUUCCUGGCCUGUUCUUGACGCUGAGGCGCGAAAGCUAGGGGAGCAAACGGG